AUUGAACGCUGGCGGCAGGCUUAACACAUGCAAGUCGAGCGGGGGAAGGUAGCUUGCUACUGGACCUAGCGGCGGACGGGUGAGUAAUGCUUAGGAAUCUGCCUAUUAGUGGGGGACAACAUCUCGAAAGGGAUGCUAAUACCGCAUACGUCCUACGGGUGAAAGCAGGGGAUCUUCGGAACUUGCGCUAAUAGAUGAGCCUAAGUCGGAUUAGCUAGUUGGUGGGGUAAAGGCCUACCAAGGCGACGACCUGUAGCGGGUCUGAGAGGAUUAUCCCCCACACUGGGACUGAGCCACGGCCCAGACGCCUACGGGAGGCAGCAGUGGAGAAUAUUGGACAAUGGGGGGAUCCCUGAUCCAGCCAUGCCGGGUGUGUGAAGAUGGCCUUAUGGUUGUAAAGCACUUUAAGCGAGGAGGAGGCUACUUUAGUUAAUACCUAGGGAUAGUGGACGUUACUCGCAGAAUAAGCACCGGCUAACUCUGUGCCAGCAGCCGCGGUAA
rnacentral:rRNA from 1 species